GCGAAUUCGCCCUUGGGGUGCCCAGGCGCGAAAACUUUACAAUGCUGGAAACAGCGAUAAGGGGACCUCGAGUGCCAGGUUACAAAUCUGGCAGUCGUGAUGCCUAAAAAGCAUUGCAUAGCAAGGGCCGGGCAAGACCGGUGCCAGCCGCCGCGGUAACACCGGCGGCUCGAGUGGUAACCGUUAUUAUUGGGUCUAAAGGGUCUGUAGCCGGCCGGAUAAGUCUCUUGGGAAAUCCAGCAGCUCAACUGUUGGGCUUUCAGGAGAUACUGUCUGGCUCGAGGCCGGGAGAGGUGAGAGGUACUUCAGGGGUAGGGGUGAAAUCUUGUAAUCCUUGAAGGACCACCAGUGGCGAAGGCGUCUCACCAGAACGGACCUGACGGCAAGGGACGAAAGCUAGGGGCACGAACCGGAUUAGAUACCCGGGUAGUCCUAGCCGUAAACGAUACUCGCUAGGUGUCGGCCACGGUGCGACCGUUGUCGGUGCCGUAGGGAAGCCGUGAAGCGAGCCACCUGGGAAGUACGGCCGCAAGGCUGAAACUUAAAGGAAUUGGCGGGGGAGCAC
rnacentral:rRNA from 1 species